rnacentral:rRNA from 1 species
GACAGAGGCCUCAAGCGUUAGGCGGAAUCACUGGGCUUAAAGCGUGUGUAGGCGGGUCGUUAAGUACCUUGUGAAAUCCCACGGCCUCACCCGUGGAACUGCUGGGUAUACUGGCGAUCUUGGGCCAACUGGGGCAACUGGAACAAGCGGUGGAGCGGUGAAAUGCGUAGAUAUCGCUUGGAACGCCAAAGGGUGAAAACAGGUUGCUGGGGUUGU